rnacentral:tRNA from 1 species
CAGAGAAUAGUUUAAUAUAAAAUGUUAAUUUUGGGGAUUAGUGAUGGGGGAUAACUCUUUCUCUGA